rnacentral:rRNA from 1 species
GCUUACGGCCACACCGCCUGGUUACGCCCGAUCUCGGAAGCUAACAUAGGUUGGGCCUGGUUAGUACUUGGAUGGGGAGACCGCCUGGGAAUACCAGGUGCUGUAAGCU